rnacentral:rRNA from 1 species
GACGAACCGAGCGAACGUUGUUCGGAAUAACUGGGCUUAAAGGGCGCGUAGGCGGGCCGCCAAGUUCGAGGUGAAAUCCUCCGGCUCAACCGGAGAACUGCCUCGAAUACUGGAGGCCUCGAGGCGGGUAGGGGCACGCGGAACUGUGGGUGGAGCGGUGAAAUGCGUUGAUAUCCACAGGAACACCGGUGGCGAAGGCGGCUACCUGGACCGGUUCUGACGCUGAUGCGCGAAAGCGUGGGUAGCAAACAGG